GCGUAAGCGCACGCAGGCGGUCUGUCAAGUCGGAUGUGAAAUCCCCGGGCUCAACCUGGGAACUGCAUUCGAAACUGGCAGGCUAGAGUCUUGUAGAGGGGGGUAGAAUUCCAGGUGUAGCGGUGAAAUGCGUAGAGAUCUGGAGGAAUACCGGUGGCGAAGGCGGCCCCCUGGACAAAGACUGACGCUCAGGUGCGAAAGCGUGGGGAGCAAACAGGAUUAGAUACCCUGGUAGUCCACGCCGUAAACGAUGUCGAUUUGGAGGUUGUGCCCUUGAGGCGUGGCUUCCGGAGCUAACGCGUUAAAUCGACCGCCUGGGGAGUACGGCCGCAAGGUUAAAACUCAAAUGAAUUGACGGGGGCCCGCACAAGCGGUGGAGCAUGUGGUUUAAUUCGAUGCAACGCGAAGAGCCUUACCUGGUCUUGACAUCCACAGAACUUU
rnacentral:rRNA from 1 species